GCUGGGCAUGGUGGUGUGUGCCUGUAGUCCCAGCUGCCCAGAAGGCUGAGGUGGGAGGAUGGCUUGAGCCCAGGAGGUUGAGGCUGCAGUGAGCCACGAUUGCGCCACUGCACCCCAGCCUGGGCAACAGAGCAAGACCCUGUCUCAA
rnacentral:SRP_RNA from 1 species